AUUGAACGCUGGCGGCAGGCCUAACACAUGCAAGUCGAACGAGUGGCGGACGGGUGAGCAAUGUCUGGGCAACUUCCUGACGGAGGGGGAUAACUACUGGAAACGGUAGCAAAUACCGCAUACACUCGGCUGUGCCCAGGUGGGAUUAGCUAGUAGGUGGGGUAAAGGAUUACCUAGGCGACGAUCCCUAGCUGGUCUGAGAGGAUGACCACACACACAGGAACUGAGAAACGGCCCAGACUCCUACGGUGGGCAGCAGUGGCGAAUAUUGCACAAUGGAGGCAAGCCUGACGCUGCCAUGCCGCUUUUUUGAAUAAGGCCUUCGGGUUGUAAUGUACUUUCUGCGCGGAGGCGGUACCCGCAGAAGAAGCGCCGGCUAACCCCGUGCCAGCAGCCGCGGUAAUAC
rnacentral:rRNA from 1 species